rnacentral:ncRNA from 1 species
UAAGAGUGGAGUCCAGAUCCCACUAUAAAAACGGGGCGUCACCGAAAAGCCAAAUGAGUAGGUAUUAA